UACGUAGGGUGCGAGCGUUAAUCGGAAUUACUGGGCGUAAAGCGUGCGCAGGCGGUUUUGUAAGCCAGAUGUGAAAUCCCCGGGCUUAACCUUGGAAUGGCAUUUGGGACUGCAAGGCUGGAGUGCGGCAGAGGAGACUGGAAUUCCUGGUGUAGCAGUGAAAUGCGUAGAUAUCGGGAGGAACACCAGUGGCGAAGGCGAGUCUCUGGGAUGAUGCUGACGCUGAGGCGCGAAAGCCAGGGGAGCAAACGGG
rnacentral:rRNA from 1 species